GGAUCAUUAAAGAGUUCUAUAACUCCCAAACCCAUGUGAACAUACCUAACGUUGCCUCGGCAGGUCGCACCUACCUUGUAGCACCCUACCCUGUAGGGCCUACCCGGGAGGUGCGGGUAAGCCUGCCGGCGGCCCACCAAACUCUGUUUGAUAUUGAAUUCUGAACCUAUAACUAAAUAAGUUAAAACUUUCAACAACGGAUCUCUUGGUUCUGGCAUCGAUGAAGAACGCAGCGAAAUGCGAUAAGUAAUGUGAAUUGCAGAAUUCAGUGAAUCAUCGAAUCUUUGAACGCAUAUUGCGCCCAUUAGUAUUCUAGUGGGCAGGACCGUUCGAGCGUCAUUUCAACCCUUAAGCCUUCGUUGCUUAGUGUUGGGAGCCUACGGCAACGUAGCUCCUCAAAGUUAGUGGCGGAGUUGGUUCACACUCUAGACGUAGUAAUUUUUUAUCUCGCCUAUUAGUUGGACUAAUCCCCUGCCGUAAAACCCCCAAUUUAUCAAGGUUGACCUCGAAUCGGUUCAGACAAACUCGCUAAAUUGAAGCAUCUUAGUCAGCGAAGGAAAAGAAACCAACAGGGAUUGCCCUAGUAACGGCGAGUGAAGCGGCAACAGCUCAAAUUUGAAAUCUGGCCCUCGGGUCCGAGUUGUAAUUUGUAGAGGAUGCUUUUGGCGCGGUGCCUUCCGAG
rnacentral:rRNA from 1 species